UAGAGUUUGAUCAUGGCUCAGAACGAACGCUGGCGGCAGGCCUAACACAUGCAAGUCGAACGCUCGUAGCAAUACGAGAGUGGCAGACGGGUGAGUAACACGUGGGAACCUUCCCAACGGUCGGGAAUAGCUCAGGGAAACUUGAGGUAAUACCGGAUACGCCCUUCGGGGGAAAGAUUUAUCGCCGUUGGAUGGGCCCGCGUCGGAUUAGCUAGUUGGUGAGGUAACGGCUCACCAAGGCGACGAUCCGUAGCUGGUCUGAGAGGAUGAUCAGCCACACUGGGACUGAGACACGGCCCAGACUCCUACGGGAGGCAGCAGUGGGGAAUAUUKGRMMAWKGGGSGCAAGCCUGAUCCAGCCAUGCCGCGUGAGUGACGAAGGCCUUAGGGUUGUAAAGCUCUUUUGGCGGGGAAGAUAAUGACGGUACCCGCAGAAUAAGCUCCGGCUAACUUCGUGCCAGCCGCCGCGGUAAUAC
rnacentral:rRNA from 1 species